CUUGUGUAUAUGUUUAAAUGGAAGACAAAUUGCAGCAUUUUUGUCUUUAUUUGCACUACUAACAUCUGCCCAGACUGCACAAUGACUGAUGAGUAGCUCAGUAAAGAUCUGUAGCAGACAAAAUAGACAUGCAACACACAGGGAGUUAUAUGUUUAGCUUCCCUGCAAAAAUCUCACUGACAGUCUUGCGAUAAAUAUAUAAUUUUAUGGCCUAUUUCUCAAUCAUACUCUGCUACAUAAUAUCAUGCUACAAACUGCUAGCUACCUUGCCAAUGGAAAUAUGUUGCUGGCAAGCAGCAAGUCUCUCCAGAUCUGCUCAAAGAGUCAUAACUGUAACAAUAUAAGCAAAUAGAUCCUCAGCAUAUUCUUUUCUGCAUUUUUUCUCUUUCUUUCCUCUCUUCCUUUUCCCUCAUUGUCCCCUCUAAUUUUCUUCCCUCUCCCCUUCUCCCCUAUCCCUCCUCCUUGCUCCCUUGCUCACUCCUCCAUUAGUGUUUAGAAGAUUUCACAGUUUUCACCCAACCCUGGAAAGAAUACAUUCCAGAGAAGCUGAGGCCUAACCGUGCUAAAAAGCUGAUGUGGCUACGAAGCACAUCUUGAAAAAUCAAUCAAUCAGUUACAAUAAAUGCCAAUGACAUGAUGCAGUCUCUCCACCCCAUCCAGCUGGAUGCUCUCCUUGAAACACCAUUCUUGCAGUCAAGUGCUGAAUAUCUCAGAGAAAGAGGUAUAAGCAAAGCAGGGAGAAAAAACCACAUCAGUGCUGCAGGGAGCUGUCCUCUGGAGGAUUGAACAAAGAUGAUCAAGCUUCUCUCUGCUCACUUCCACUCACCCAUCAGGAUUUCAUUGACGGGGAAGCCUGAAAAAACCUGCCAGAAGUGUCAUUUCAUACCCGCCUGAAGUCUUUAGUUUGGAGUGCUUCCCUUAUUCAUCCAUCACAACAUAGUCUCUCUCCCUUUUACACAUUGUCUCUGCUUGUUGCGGCACCCUGGUUUGCUAAACCAGGUUAUGCUAAAGCAAAGCCAAAUUCAAAAUGGUCUGAAAAAUCAUUGGUGUAUCCAGGCAAGAAUGAAUUAAAAUGUUGCAAGAAAUGCCAAUUAUAGAUACAAGAGGGAGACAACCACAAUUUCUAAAUCCUCCCCGACACUGUUCUGCAAUCCAGAAAGCAAGAAAGGCUUUGGCUAGCUGCAUGAGUUUGCAUUUACAUCUUCAAGACAAAAAUGUGACUUGAAGGAGCAUGUUGCCAGAGUGAACCGAUGCCAGCAAGAAACUGUAGCAGAUCGUAAAACAUCUGUGUAAGAAGCUUGCACUGCUGAAUAGAUGUAGUGUCCAUCAGGUAUGUUACCUAUGUCGCACAGAGAACAGGAAAGGAUCAUCAGAGGUCUUAGGAAUGACCUCUGGGGUCUCUGAAAAACAAGGAGAAGCCAUGGAACCAUUGUUGGGGGCUCAACAGGGUUGUGCUCUUCUCUCUUCCUGGCCAGCUCUGCUCCAGAAAGUGAACUUGUUCCUCUGGACUGGCUGGUGGCCACAAGGAGGGGAAUAAGGGAAUUGUUUUUCCCAGGUCCAGCUGCUUCAAAAUCUACAGAGACUCUCAGAGCAAUUUUAGCUAGCCAUCCCUUGAACACAAGACAGAAUAAUUACAGAUGUAGGUGAAUAACCAAAUUAGCACUGAGAUACUCCAUAAAGUAUUGCCUUCUAUCAGUUUUUGACAGGAUUUUGUGGUGGAGAUAAAGAAAAAAAGAAAAAACCUGAAAUUUUAUUCAAUCCAUCUGAGAGGUCAAACGGAUAGUAGAGAAUAUUCAAACCCUCCUUUUUGUUUUUCAAAGUCUUUAAUUCAGGAUGUCACCCACAAAGUAAAAACAUCAGCUUUGUCCAGUAAUAAUGACCAGAAGCUUCAGCAGCCAAGCUCUGCACAAGCAAUAAGUAUGGUGUUGUCCUUGUCUCUAAGAAACUGAGAUCUAAGUAAUUCUCUGCCACAUAUUCAGUCUUCCAUAGUGAAUAUUUUGCUAAGAUCAGCCACAACUCCAAAGCAAACUGUUGUCCAAAUAAUAAAUUGUGUCCAAUACAGCUUCA
rnacentral:lncRNA from 1 species